rnacentral:rRNA from 1 species
ACAAGAACGACUCUCGGCAACGGAUAUCUCGGCUCUCGCAUCGAUGAAGAACGUAGCGAAAUGCGAUACUUGGUGUGAAUUGCAGAAUCCCGUGAACCGUCGAGUCUUUGAACGCAAGUUGCGCCCGAAGCCGUUAGGUUGAGGGCACGUCUGCCUGGGUGUCACAC